GACGAACGCUGGCGGCGUGCUUAACACAUGCAAGUCGAACGAUGAAGAAAAGAAUUGAAGCUUCGGCAGAAAUUCAUUUCGGAUUAGUGGCAGACGGGUGAGUAACGCGUGAGCAACCUACCUCUUACAAAGGGAUAGCCUCGGGAAACCGGGAUUAAUACCAUAUAACAUUGCGACGAAGCAUUUCGAUGCAAUCAAAGCUACGGCGGUAAGAGAUGGGCUCGCGUCCCAUUAACCAGAUGGUGAGGUAACGGCUCACCAUAGUAACGAUGGGUAACCGGCCUGAGAGGGUGAACGGUCACACUGGAACUGAGACACGGUCCAGACUCCUACGGGAGGCAGCAGUGGGGAAUAUUGCACAAUGGAGGGAACUCUGAUGCAGCGAUGCCGCGUGAGUGAUGAAGGAAUUCGUUUCGUAAAACUCUGUUCUAUGGGAAGAAAAGGACUGUACCAUAGGAGAAAGCUCCGGCUAAAUACGUG
rnacentral:rRNA from 1 species